UACGUAGGGCGCAAGCGUUAUCCGGAAUUAUUGGGCGUAAAGAGCUCGUAGGCGGUUUGUCGCGUCUGCCGUGAAAGUCCGGGGCUCAACUCCGGAUCUGCGGUGGGUACGGGCAGACUAGAGUGAUGUAGGGGAGACUGGAAUUCCUGGUGUAGCGGUGAAAUGCGCAGAUAUCAGGAGGAACACCGAUGGCGAAGGCAGGUCUCUGGGCCGUAACUGACGCUGAGGAAGCGAAAGGCGUGGGGAGCGAACAGG
rnacentral:rRNA from 1 species